rnacentral:siRNA from 1 species
UGGAACACGUUUUGGUCCGAUUGA